UGACGGAGCAACGCCGCGUGAGUGAUGAAGGUUUUCGGAUCGUAAAGCUCUGUUGUUAGGGAAGAACAAGUGCAAGAGUAACUGCUUGCACCUUGACGGUACCUAACCAGAAAGCCACGGCUAACUACGUGCCAGCAGCCGCGGUAAUACGUAGGUGGCAAGCGUUGUCCGGAAUUAUUGGGCGUAAAGGGCUCGCAGGCGGUUUCUUAAGUCUGAUGUGAAAGCCCCCGGCUCAACCGGGGAGGGUCAUUGGAAACUGGGAAACUUGAGUGCAGAAGAGGAGAGUGGAAUUCCACGUGUAGCGGUGAAAUGCGUAGAGAUGUGGAGGAACACCAGUGGCGAAGGCGACUCUCUGGUCUGUAACUGACGCUGAGGAGCGAAAGCGUGGGGAGCGAACAGGAUUAGAUACCCUGGUAGUCCACGCCGUAAACGAUGAGUGCUAAGUGUUAGGGGGUUUCCGCCCCUUAGUGCUGCAGCUAACGCAUUAAGCACUCCGCCUGGGGAGUACGGUCGCAAGACUGAAACUCAAAGGAAUUGACGGGGGCCCGCACAAGCGGUGGAGCAUGUGGUUUAAUUCGAAGCAACGCGAAGAACCUUACCAGGUCUUGACAUCCUCUGACAACCCUAGAGAUAGGGCUUUCCCUUCGGGGACAGAGUGACAGGUGGUGCAUGGUUGUCGUCAGCUCGUGUCGUGAGAUGUUGGGUUAAGUCCCGCAACGAGCGCAACCCUUGAUCUUAGUUGCCAGCAUUUUAGUUUGGGC
rnacentral:rRNA from 1 species